rnacentral:rRNA from 1 species
GGUUUGAUUCUGGCUCAGAUUGAACGCUGGCAGGAUGCUUUACACAUGCAAGUCGAACGGCAGCACGGACUUCCGGUCUGGUGGCGAGUGGCGAACAGGUGAGUAAUGUAUCGGAACGUGCCUAAUAGCGGGGAUAACUACGCGAAAGCGUAGCUAAUACAUACGCCCUUCGGGAAAGCAGGGGGACCUUCGGGCCUCGCACUAUUAGAGCGGCCGAUAUCGGAUUAGCUGAUUGGUGGGAGUAACGGCUCGCAAGGCGACGAUCCGUAGCUGGUUUGGGAGGACGACCAGCCACACUGGGACUACGGAGACACGGCCCAGACUCCUACAGGAGGCAGCGGUGGGGGUACACGGACAAUGGGGGAAACCCUGAUCCAGCCAUCCCGCGUGUGCGAUGAAGGCCUUCGGGUUGUAAAGCACUUUUGGCAGGAAAGAAACGGCGGGAUAAUACUGAUGCAACUGACGUACCUGCGAUAAGCACCGGCUAACUACGUGCCAGCAGCCGCGGUAAUACGGCGUAGGGUGCAAGCGUUAAUCAGGUGCAGGCGUAAAGCGUGCGCGAGGCGGUUCGGAAGAAAGAUGUAAGGAAAUCAGAGGCUUAACUUUGGAACUACAUUUUAACUACCGAGCUAAGUGUGUCGGAGGUGGAAUUCCGCGUGUAGCAGUGAAAUGCGUAGAUACGGAGGAACACCGAUGGCGAAGGCAGCCUCCUGGGAUAGCACUGACGCUCAUGCACGAAAGCGUGGGGCAAACAGGAUUAGAUACCCCUGGUAGUCCACGCCCUAAACGAUGUCAACUAGCUGUUGGGGCCUUCGGGCCUUGUGUACAGCUAACGCGUGAAGUUGACCGCCUGGGAGGCUGAUCGCAAGAUUAAAACUCAAGGAAUUGACGGGGACCCGCACAAGCGGUGGAUGAUGUGGAUUGAUUCGAUGCAACGCGAAAACCUUACCUACCGCUGGUAAACAUGGAUACAGAGAUUUACGGGAGUGCUCGCAAGAGAACCGGAACACAAGUGCUGCAUGGCUGUCGUCAGCUCGUGUCGUGAGAUGUUGGGUUAAGUCCCGCAACGAGCGCAACCCUUGUCGUGGAUUGCUACGAGAAAGAGCUGCUCUAAUGAGACUGCCGAAGUGAUGACAGCAAAACCGGAGGAAGGUGGGGAUGACGUCAAGUCCUCAUGGCCCUUAUCUGGGUGAAGACUACACGUCUGCAAUGGUCGGGACAGAGGGUCGCCAACCCGCGAGAGGGAGCCAAUCCCAGAAACCCGAUCGUAGUCCGGAUCGCAGUCUGCAACUCGACUGCGUGAAGUCGGAAUCGCUAGUAAUCGCGAAUCGGCAUAUCAUACCGCGGUGAAUACCAUUCCCGGGUCUUGUACACACCGCCCGUCACACCAUGGGAGUGGGUUUUACCAAGUAGUUAGCCUAACCGUAAGGAGGGCGAUUACCACGGUAAAGUUCAUGACUGGAGUGAAGUCGUAACAAGGUAG